rfam:Lambdina fiscellaria nucleopolyhedrovirus isolate GR15, complete genome.
CGAUGAUUUUUUCGUAAAUAAAAAAACCCAUAUACUACAAUUUAGCGUUUGCGCGACGGUUUUAAAUCAAAUACACACUUCAUAUACUACAUUCGGCCGAAAAUAUACUACGAUGGACGGUUCAUAUACGUUCAAAAGUGUAAAACCUCUGUUUUAUAUUAACUCCAAAGUACUAAAUACACAUCGAAAUAAAAAUGAAAUC